UACGGGGGGGGCAAGCGUUGUUCGGAAUUACUGGGCGUAAAGGGCCAGUAGGCGGCCAACUAAGUCGGAUGUGAAAUCCCCAGGCUUAACCUGGGAACUGCAUCCGAUACUGGAUGGCUUGAAUUCGGGAGAGGGAUGCAGAAUUCCAGGUGUAGCGGUGAAAUGCGUAGAUAUCUGGAGGAACACCGGUGGCGAAGGCGGCAUCCUGGACCAACACUGACGCUGAGUGAGCGAAAGCCAGGGGAGCAAACGGG
rnacentral:rRNA from 1 species